GACGAAGGGGGGCUAGCGUUGUUCGGAAUUACUGGGCGUAAAGCGCGCGUAGGCGGUUCUUCAAGUCAGGCGUGAAAGCCCCGGGCUUAACCCGGGAAUAGCGCUUGAUACUGUGGGACCUGAGUCCGGGAGAGGAUAGUGGAAUUCCCAGUGUAGAGGUGAAAUUCGUAGAUAUUCGCAAGAACACCAGUGGCGAAGGCGGCUCACUGGCUCGAUACUGACGCUGAGGUGCGAAAGCGUGGGGAGCAAACAGGAUUAGAACCGGUACCGUCGUA
rnacentral:rRNA from 1 species